UACGAAGGGGGCUAGCGUUGUUCGGAAUUACUGGGCGUAAAGCGCACGUAGGCGGAUUGUUAAGUUAGGGGUGAAAUCCCAGGGCUCAACCCUGGAACUGCCUUUAAUACUGGCAAUCUCGAGUCCGAGAGAGGUGAGUGGAAUUCCGAGUGUAGAGGUGAAAUUCGUAGAUAUUCGGAGGGACACCAGUGGCGAAGGCGGCUCACUGGCUCGGUACUGACGCUGAGGUGCGAAAGCGUGGGGAUCAAACAGG
rnacentral:rRNA from 1 species